AUAUUUCCAGUGCCUGCCUUGUUCUCGGCCUUCCUCCUGUCAUGCCCAGUCUGCUCCAGCCCUGCUUUCCUACUGACUUCCUGGCUCCUGCACCAACCACUAGACCUGACAGUCUGCAUCCCAGGUUGUGACAACAAUAAGGCCACAGAAGUACCUGAAUGGAUAUUGGCAGCAAGAUUGGGAUCCCUUUGUACAAAUGCAUAUGAAGAGUCACUUUCUGCUCCAAAGGUCUUAAAAUCUAAAGAGAAAAGACAAAGAAAUGGUGGGAGCAGAAACAGAGGUGAAGUGACUUGCCCAAAUUACCCAGGAGUUGAGCUGGAAAUAGAACAUAGGUCUCCUGAUUCCCAGCUCCACGAUCAUGGAAGAACUGUGGGUGGAUCCCUGGGCCUCAGUGUGCUCCACGAAGGCACAGGGUUCUGUACAGAACUCCUUGCAGGAUAAGUGCCUAAGUCUUGAUAUUCAAAUUUCACAUCAGUGCUUUGUACCCAGCAUGUUAUUUCCAAUGACUUCUCACAGGUACUGGAUACUCAAUAGCAAUGUCUACAAGAAUGCCUUCUUCCAUGUAUUCUCUCUGGAAGGCUAUGUCCCAACCUGACUAAUAUAGACUUGGUCAUAAUGAUCUAUGCAUUCCAACCUGAGAAUGAAACUACAAUCAAAGAAAUAUCUCCAGAUGGUGCAAUACAGAGCAGUCCACCGGAACAACACAGGUUGUUGUAAGUAUAUGUUGU